AGAGUUUGAUCCUGGCUCAGAACGAACGCUGGCGGCAGGCUUAACACAUGCAAGUCGAACGGCUGUAGCAAUACAGCAGUGGCAGACGGGUGAGUAACACGUGGGAACCUUCCUAGGGGUACGGAACAACUCAGGGAAACUUGAGCUAAUACCGUAUACGUCCGUGAGGAGAAAGUUUUAACGCCCCUAGACGGGCCCGCGUCGGAUUAGCUAGUUGGUGGGGUAACGGCCUACCAAGGCGACGAUCCGUAGCUGAUCUUAGAGGAUGAUCAGCCACACUGGGACUGAGACACGGCCCAGACUCCUACGGGAGGCAGCAGUGGGGAAUCUUGGACAAUGGGCGCAAGCCUGAUCCAGCCAUGCCGCGUGAGUGAAGAAGGUCUUCGGAUUGUAAAGCUCUUUUACCAGGGACGAUAAUGACGGUACCUGAG
rnacentral:rRNA from 1 species